GGUUUACACUUGAUCGCUGAACUUCAGGUAAGUUUCAUGUCGAAAAUAUUUUUGCUGAUGC
rnacentral:snoRNA from 1 species